CGUAAACACCAGCCAAAGCAGCAAAGUCAUAGGCAUUAACUUUUAACAAAUAUUUAUUGAAUAUCUAGCAGCCUCCACGCUCAUAUUCCAGGAGCGAUUGGCAAACUGAAGGAGGGAGAACAACAGACACGCAUGUGACCAACCACAAUUUGUUUUCACAUGUGCUGCAUGAAAGAACAAAGAAUUCGGAGAACACAUCCAAAAAAGAAAAAGUAAUACAUUCUGCCUGAGGAGUUGGAGGAGCCUGGAGGAACUCACAGAAGUGGUGGCAUUCAAGGAAAGUCUUAAGAAGGAAAGAAAGUCACCAAGCAGAGGAGGUGGGGGAGGACAUUCGAUAAUGAGAGUGGAAACAGCACACAGUGUGGCAGCGAGGAGCACAUGGUGUGUCCAUGGAAGGACUAUGAGUUGUGGAGGAAAAACAGUAUUUGAUAUGAGGCUCAGAGGGCGAGAACUGCAGACCCCAGAGGCCUGCGAUGCGAGGUGCACAGAAAUCAGGAUGGCAGGAGCAUCGCAAGAGAUGACCUCAGCUGUCUAUGGACAUUAAAAAGAUGUGGUACACAUACACAAUGGAAUACGACUCAGCAAUAAAAAGGACAAAAUAAUGCCAUUUGCAGCAACAUGGAUGCAAUUCAUGAUCAUCAUACUGAAUGAAAUGGCCCGAGUGCUCACGGACACAGUGUCCUGCCUGAAAAAGUUCUCUGCUGGAAUAAACAAGUUCAGCCAAUGGAUCAGGACCUCCUUGCUGUGCUCAGAGUGGCUAUUGCUACUUGCUGCUUCCAGCUGCUUUCGUCCUGCCCCUUUGCCGCUGGCUGAUCAUCCCAAGGCUGCUGAAGCUUCAGUCAUCACAUCUGCUGUCCAAGCAGUGAGAAGGCAGAAGAGAGGGGGGCAAAAUGAGGAACAGCUUCCUUGAACAUUCUCCUUGGAUAUCCCAUCCAAAAAUUCAUCUUACUUCUGUUGACUAGUGCUUAUUACAAGGCUGUACUUUGUUACAAGGAGAUCUGGGAAAUGCAGUCACAUCACCAGCCUGAAUAAAAGAAGGGUUUUCUUACAAAGCAAUAAGAGGAGACUGGGUAUUGGGCAGGUAACUGUCCCUUUCCCGUAAUUACCCACUGGAGACAGCCAGGCUUUGGUGAAAUAAAUAAAUGUCUUUUUGUUCCCUCCCCGCCCCCCGCCCCCUUAUCUGGGAAGAUUCUCCUGCACUUUGUGGCAGGAGGUCAGAAUUUGUUUCCAGUGAUGGGGGCAAAAUCUCUGACAAAAAAUGGUAACAGGACUUCCCAACCAUUCCAUAUCUUUAGGGGAACUUGUUUUUUGUUUUUGUUUAACUAAAAUACAUUUGACCUCAUGCGACUGAUCCUCCUUGAAAUGUAUUUUGCACUGAACAUUUUAAAAGUAAAUUUUGGUUAAUAGGAAAUAAAAAUAAGGCUAAAUAAGGUAAAAUAGGAAUUAAAAAUAAGCAAUGAAAAAUGCUAAACUAGCCAUCAGAAAAUGCAGACUCGGAGUUCCCAUCAUGGCUCAGUGGUUAACGAAUCCGAGUAGGAACCAUGAGGUUGCGGGUUCGG